UGAGGAAUAUUGGGCAAUGCCCGCAAGGGUGACCCAGCAACGCCGCGUGGAGGAUGAAUGCCGUAAGGUUGUAAACUCCUGUUGGGAGGGAAGAAUAACUAUCAAUAACAAUGUUGAUAGCUUGACUGUACCUUCAAAGAAAGCCCCGGCUAACUACGUGCCAGCAGCCGCGGUAAUACGUAGGGGGCAAGCGUUGUCCGGAUUUACUGGGUGUAAAGGGCGCGUAGGCGGGUUAAUAAGUCAGAGGUGAAAGCCUGCAGCUUAACUGCAGAACUGCCUUUGAUACUGUUAAUCUUGAGUUCGGAAGAGAGAAAUGGAAUUCCAGGUGUAGUGGUGAAAUACGUAGAUAUCUGGAAGAACACCAGUAGCGAAGGCGAUUUCUUGGUCCGACACUGACGCU
rnacentral:rRNA from 1 species